rnacentral:lncRNA from 1 species
GGGCGGGGCCGGGCCGGGGCGGGGCGCGGGGCGGGUGGCGCCCGGUGUGUGCAGGCGCGGCCCGGGCGCCCCGAGGGCAGCUGCGGCGGGGCCUGGGCCGCGGGGAGGCUCCCCGGGACCCGGACGCCCACACCCCCGGGGGCGGGGACCGCGGUGACCCCCCCCACCCGCCCCGGACGCCCGGGCUUUGCGCCUGCAGGACGGUGACGUCGGGCACCCGCGCCCCCGGGAGACCCGCGUCCCGGAGGCCACAGCGGGGCCCUGUGCACGUGCUGCCCUCGGGGGUCCAGGGAGCCACCAGGGGCUGGCGCAGGCUGGCAGUACCCGGCAGCCGCAGAAACCACACACACAGGUGGACAAAGGAACGUGUCACUUCAAGGAACGGCUGAUGCUUUCCGGAAAAUAAAAAAUAUUGGGAGCAACGAGGUAUGGCGGGGCGACGAUGGUCCCAGGUCACCCCCCUCCGUAUUCCCCGUAUUCCUCCCCCUGCCCCCCACAGGUGUGGAAGCCAGAGCUCCUCGCGGCCACAGACCCCACAGACCUAAUGCAGGAGAGCCGCCCCCAGAAGAUGCCAAGCGCCCUCCUCCGUCUCAGCCGCUCGGCCUGACCCCCACGUCCCCGUGGCCAGGGGCCAGGUUCCUGCCUGGUGGCCCCGGGGGAGGACGCCCAGCUGUCUUGGCCUGUCCUUGGUCUCUGACCGUGGAGGGGAUCCUCACUGCCUGGGGACUGAGGCAGGGAUGGGACCCAAGUUCUCAGCGAGGGUGUGCAAGAGCUGGACGUUGUGACCUUGGCCGAGACCUGACCCUGCCGCGGCCCCGCCGCCCCAGCCUGGGCUCUGCAAACCAAAGGGUAAGAGAGAGCCCACCUGGAAGGUUUGGAUGGGCAGGUGGCCCCGGACGACGCAGGUGGAAUCAGAGGAGCGCCGCGCAGAGAGCGUUUCCCUCCGCGACCCGGGAGAUGUCCGUGACCCGCCGUCGCCGGGUGUGAAGGUAGAGGAAGGGGCCUCGAGCCAGAGAAUAAGCUGGAAAAGCAAGGAAUAGACCCCCCUCCCCGACCCCCGAGACACCAAAAGGAAGGCAACUGCACCGAUACAUUUAGUUCAGAGACCCAUGUUGGACUUCUGAUCUCUAGGACUAGAGAAGAACAAUCUGUUGUUUUUUUGUAUUAAAGAUUUUAUUGAAAAAAAAAAGAUGUUAUUUAUUUAUUCACGAGAGAGGCAGAGACACAGGGAGAAGCAGGCUCCUCGCAGGGAGCCCGAUGUGGGACUCGAUCCCGGGACUCCGGGAUCA